UACGUAGGGCGCAAGCGUUGUCCGGAAUUAUUGGGCGUAAAGAGCUCGUAGGCGGUUUGUUGCGUCUGCCGUGAAAACCCGAGGCUUAACCUCGUGGCUUGCGGUGGAUACGGGCAGACUAGAGGUAGGUAGGGGAGAAUGGAAUUCCUGGUGUAGCGGUGGAAUGCGCAGAUAUCAGGAGGAACACCGGUGGCGAAGGCGGGUCUCUGGGACAUUACUGACGCUGAGGAGCGAAAGCGUGGGGAGCGAACAGG
rnacentral:rRNA from 1 species